rnacentral:rRNA from 1 species
AACCCGACUCCACGAAGCUGGAUUCGCCAGUAAUCGCGCAUCAGCCACGGCGCGGUGAAUACGUUCCCGGGCCUUGUACACACCGCCCGUCAAGCCAUGGGAGCCGGGGUACCUGAAGUGCGUAACCGCGAGGAGCGCCCUAGGGUAAAACUGGUGACUGGGGCUAAGUCGUAACAAGGUAGC